ensembl:snRNA U6 U6 spliceosomal RNA
GAGCUCACUUUGUCAGCACAUAUACUAAAAUUGGAACAAUAGAAAAUUAAUAUGGCCUCUGCACAAGGAUGACAUGCAAAUCUGUGAAGUAUUCCAUACUUUU